CAACUACAGAAAUACGAACUAUGUUAAAAUAUUUGCGUUAUGUUGUGUGUUUGUAAUGCGUAUAUAGCUGGACUGUGGAUACAGAUCACAAGCCUCUUUCUUACUGUUAUGGCUUGCUAACAGAAACAGUCCAGUUCACGCUCUGCAUUUGCAAUGUGAAUUGCACCUUCUGGCGGAUUGCGAUAGCAAAUGGAGAUCAGAGAAGCAAAGCAGAAGGGAAGGAAGUGGAGGCCACGAGCACAGUAGUGCUACAGGAGAUAGAAAAGUGACCUACAAAUGUAGGUAUCCUGUUUUUGAUGGGAGCAGCUGACGCACAGAGCAGUGAAAUGCCUUGCCUGAAGUUGCUCUGCAAAUUGGUCACGGAGCCUGGAAUAACAUCCGUACUGCUCUGAGUGUUGCAGUAACGAUUCCUUAGGCUGGUAGGCAGCUCGGUGUGUCUGGACAGCAGCACGGCUGUCGUCGAAGAGCCACUCGCAGUUGUUGGCACACCACUUUGUGAGCAGAAGGAGAACGCUGGAGGAGCAAAACAACAGGAUCUUCUGGAUGGUCAGCGUUAUCUUAUGCAGCCUGGUGCCCUCUGUCUUCCAGAAUUUCUCCCCAAGGAGAGUGCCGGUGCCCGCUGCCUGCAGAGGCUUGGCAGCGCUGCCUUCCCGAAGGGAUGCCUUUCCUUUGGGGAUGUAACCUUG
rnacentral:lncRNA from 1 species